GAUGAACGCUGGCGGCGUGCCUAAUACAUGCAAGUCGAGCGAACAGAUGAGGAGCUUGCUCCUCUGACGUUAGCGGCGGACGGGUGAGUAACACGUGGAUAACCUACUUAUAAGACUGGGAUAAUUUCGGGAAACCGGAUCUAAUACCGGAUAAUAUAUUGAACCGCAUGGUUCAAUAGUGAAAGACGGUUUUGCUGUCUCUUAUAGAUGGAUCCGCGCCGCAUUAGCUAGUUGGUAAGGUAACGGCUUACCAAGGCGACGAUGCGUAGCCGACCUGAGAGGGUGAUCGGCCACACUGGAACUGAGACACGGUCCAGACUCCUACGGGAGGCAGCAGUAGGGAAUCUUCCGCAAUGGGCGAAAGCUUGACGGAGCAACGCCGCGUGAGUGAUGAAGGUCUUCGGAUCGUAAAACUCUGUUAUUAGGGAAGAACAAAUGUGUAAGUAACUAUGCACGUCUUGACGGUACCUAAUCAGAAAGCCACGGCUAACUACGUG
rnacentral:rRNA from 1 species